rnacentral:lncRNA from 1 species
ACCAUUCAAAGAUUGGGUCUAAAAGGUAAAGUACAAUGAGAUAUUUUAUAACAUUUUUAGCCCUCUGAGAAGAAAACCUAAUGCUAAAAUAGUUUAUUAUAAUGUAUUUUUCUUAUUACUAUUUAUCACAAUUAAUAGUGACAAACAUACUAUAUGAUUAUUUAUCUAGUGUAGAUUUAUUCCAGUAUACUGUAUUCUCCCUGAGUUUUUUUCUCUUCUUUUAACCAAUCUUCCAUAAGAACCUAGGAAAGUAACUAGCACUUAGAUGGGUUCAAUAAAUGUGUUGAAUGAAUUAAUGAAUUUGUGUGACUAUUCCUAUAGAAAAGCUACUGUGGUGUUAGGUUGAAAAAUAUGCACAUUUUAAAUAUUGACAGAUGCAGUCAAAUUGCUCUCCAAGAAGCAUAAAUCCCAUUCUCGAGGUAUUGGGAAAAAUCUAAAAAGGAGGUAGGUUUGUUGUUUUCUUAUGAAGAAAUUAAUAUGCUAAAAAGCCCCAUUUUAUUGUGUUUAAAAUGUUCAGGUAGAGAGUAUAUUGUAUUGAGAAAUUAUGUUUUAAAAUUUUGAAAUUGUUGCUGCUUAUAGGUUGAUGGUGUGGUUACUGUGAUGUAACGUAAAAAAACGAAACUUGUCUGUGUAGAUGUUGGCCAGGUGGAGUGUAGAAAAUGUGUUUUAGAUAGAGGGAAGAGCAAAUGCAAAAACAUGAUAUAAAAGAAAAAAUCCAGAUAUUCAACAAUAGAGAUGAGAUUAAGUAAAUUACAUACAUCAAUAUGGAGUCCCUAUAAGGAAUAAGGUCAUUCUGUAUGUACUGACAGAGAAAGAUAUUAUAUUAUUGAGAGAGAAAACACAGGUGAUAUGAUCCUGUUUUCUUGAAACAAAUACUCUGUGUGGGGGUGUCUGUGCCUAUGGAGAAAGAGUGUCUGGGCAGGUACAAACCCUAAUGUUAACUGUGUUGUUCCUGGGAAGUGAGUGGGUUGGGGUUGUAAUAUGGAGAUUUUUAAUUUAAUAUACUUCUGUUUUAAUUGUGUAUUUUUUUUUUUUUUACAGCCAACCUGUAUACAUUUUGUAAUGCACUAUUUUUUAAAGGAAAGAAUGAGCUUUGUGCUUAUGACAUUUAUGGAUUCCAGAUCUGACAAUCAUAUAUUAGCCUUUGUCUGGGCAGCAAAGAGAAUGCACAGGACAGAUUCAAUCUUAAAUCAUUUAACUUCUUCUUAAAAUAUGCUUCCCGCCUGGUUAUUCUUAUUUUUGUAGAUAUUUGGCAAGGUUUUGAAGAUGAAAUGGGAGCUAAAAAUUGAGAAAUGGGCUUUUAUUAUUUAACAAACUUAUAUUGAGUGAUUAGUGUACAAAUACUACAGAUUUGCUAUAUCCAUAUAUACCAGAAAAGAUAUAUAUUUUUACUAAUUGAACCAUACUUUAUUCAUAUUGCAAAGUGAUACUGUAAAUCUUUUUGUCAAGUGAAAGCUCACCUCUGCCUCAAUUUUUUUCCCUCAAAAUCUGUAUUUUCAAUAAACAUGGCACAGAUGUACCUCUUAGUUGUACC